rnacentral:rRNA from 1 species
GUGUCAGCCGCCGCGGUAAUACAGAGGGUGCAAGCGUUAAUCGGAUUUAGUGGGCGUAAAGCGCGCGUAGGUGGACAAUUAAGUCAAAUGUGAAAUCCCCGAGCUUAACUUGGGAAUUGCAUUCGAUACUGGUUGGCUAGAGUAUGGGAGGGGAUGGUAGAAUUCCAGGUGUAGCGGUGAAAUGCGUAGAGAUCUGGAGGAAUACCGAUGGCGAAGGCAGCCAACUGGCCUAAUACUGACACUGAGGUGCGAAAGCUUGGGGAGCAAACAGG